GCAGCUGUGGCCGAGUGGUUAAGGCGAUGGACUAUAGAAAUCCAUUAAGGGGUCUCUCGCGUAAGGUUCGAGAUCCUACCGGCUGUG